UACGGGGGGGGCAAGCGUUGUUCGGAAUUACUGGGCGUAAAGGGCUCGUAGGCGGCCAACUAAGUCAGACGUGAAAUCCCUCGGCUCAACCUGGGAACUGCGUCUGAUACUGGAUGGCUUGAAUCCGGGAGAGGGAUGCAGAAUUCCAGGUGUAGCGGUGAAAUGCGUAGAUAUCUGGAGGAAUACCGGUGGCGAAGGCGGCAUCCUGGACCGGCAUUGACGCUGAGGAGCGAAAGCUAGGGGAGCAAACGGG
rnacentral:rRNA from 1 species